rnacentral:rRNA from 1 species
GAUGAACGCUGGCGGCGUGCUUAACACAUGCAAGUCGAACGGUGAAGCAGAGCUUGCUCUGUGGAUCAGUGGCGAACGGGUGAGUAACACGUGAGCAACCUGCCCUGGACUCUGGGAUAAGCGCUGGAAACGGCGUCUAAUACUGGAUACGAGACGUGGCCGCAUGGUCGACGUUUGGAAAGAUUUUUUGGUUCAGGAUGGGCUCGCGGCCUAUCAGCUUGUUGGUGAGGUAAUGGCUCACCAAGGCGUCGACGGGUAGCCGGCCUGAGAGGGUGACCGGCCACACUGGGACUGAGACACGGCCCAGACUCCUACGGGAGGCAGCAGUGGGGAAUAUUGCACAAUGGGCGAAAGCCUGAUGCAGCAACGCCGCGUGAGGGAUGACGGCCUUCGGGUUGUAAACCUCUUUUAGCAAGGAAGAAGCGAAAGUGACGGUACUUGCAGAAAAAGCGCCGGCUAACUACGUGCCAGCAGCCGCCGUAAUAC